GGUCAAGUUAUUAAGGGUGCAGGGCGGAUGCCUUGGCACUAGGAGCCGAUGAAGGACGUGAUAAGCUGCGAUAAGCUUCGGGGAGUUGCACGUAAACUUUGAUCCGAAGAUUUCCGAAUGAGGAAACUCACUUAGAGUAAUGUCUAAGUAUCAUUAAGUGAAUACAUAGCUUAAUGAGGGGAACUCAGGGAACUGAAACAUCUAAGUACCUGAAGGAAGAGAAAGAAAUUCGAUUCCGUAAGUAGCGGCGAGCGAAC
rnacentral:rRNA from 1 species